AUGAUGGCAGGCGACCCAAAAUAUUUAUGGGAAAGGUGUGAUGGCACCCGGGAGUCCCGACACCCCCUUAUCUGGUCCGUUCAGCGAUGGAUGGACAGUCGAUCCAUGACUAUGAACAUGGCGUGUGAGAAGAUCAUGGCAGAGCGACACCGUUGCUUGAAGAAGGAAUGUGAAGCAUGGUUGAAGAGUUGUGAUGAGGCAAAUGCGGCCAUGAAGGAUUUCAGCAAGUAUCACUUUAUCGAGGAAUCUUCUGAUGCUAAGGAGAAAAAAGCAUUCCAAAAGCUUGUGAAGGAGAAAGAGAGGAUGCUUGAUCAGCUGCAAGACCGGGAAUAUGCUUGCAGACACGCUUUGGCAAUUGAGAUUGCGUUCACUGCAAGCAAAGAAGAAUUCCGUGAGAUGGACUUGAGGAAACCCGGGCAGGUCAUAGGAUGGGCAAUCAAAUAG
rnacentral:rRNA from 1 species